UACGUAGGGUGCGAGCGUUAAUCGGAAUUACUGGGCGUAAAGGGCGCGUAGGCGGACAGUUAAGUUGGGGGUGAAAGCCCGGGGCUCAACCUCGGAAUUGCCUUCAAUACUGGCUGUCUUGAGUGUGAGAGAGGUGUGUGGAACUCCGAGUGUAGAGGUGAAAUUCGUAGAUAUUCGGAAGAACACCAGUGGCGAAGGCGACACACUGGCUCACUACUGACGCUGAGGCGCGAAAGCGUGGGGAGCAAACAGG
rnacentral:rRNA from 1 species